CUAUAUAUUUUUGGCACUGGAACUAAGGAGUAAAGACACACAUAAUAUUAUCAGAGUAAGCAUUCUGCCAAAACUUAGAUGAGCGCCCAAGAAGUUGUGGGAGCUCAGUGACUGGGGACCAGAGUUAACAGACAUAUAUUCAGUACUGUUUGUGUAUGUCUGGUAAAGCAAAAAAUGACCAUGUUCAGCUCACUUGCACCCUCAUGCUUUAAGGAUGAUCUUACAUGCUCUAACGUGUGAUGUGGAAGGAACAAUGGAAGAUAUAAAGGGAAGCUGCCUUAAAACCACAGCAGGUAAACUCAGCGGCAGUUGCAUUUGCAUCGGGCCAGACUAUUAGAGGUAUUAUCAGCUUCAGUUCGAAAGAACCAUGCCAAGAUGUUAGCAUCCUAAAAGAUAAAUAUUUCUUGGGGAGUAUAUAUGGCUAUGUAUAUGUUAUUGUCACACAUUGGAUCUCUUUUAAAGAUGGCUGGAGAAUUCAAUGAGCUAUCCAUCUAAAGUGCUUGAAGAAAUGUCUGACACAAAUAAGUGCCAGUGUUGAAAGGAGGAAAAUACUGGCCUGGACCAACUGUUUGUCUUCGUAGGGCUGCUCUUUAACUGGUGUGACUAAAUCAGAUGAAGUGGCCUCAUGCAGACACUCUGACACAAAGAAUUUCAGAGCCACCUCUAAUGACAGCAUUUACUCUUAAUACAGAGAGUGUGAGAACAGAAACAUAAUGUUUAUUAGCAGCCUUUACUAAAACAGUCACUCAAAGAAAGAGCAAAGAAGAUGAAAACGGGAAGUCCUCAGCUAAGAGCUCCCAUUUUCUUGUGAAAUUAAUUCACAUUAUUGGGUGUGCUGCCUUGAAUGAAUUUCCUUCCUUUUACACUCCCACUUAGCUUUCCUUUAAGUGUCAAAUGAAGCGGGUGGUGGAAAAUGCGGUGCACCAGUCAUUUUGACAUUCCUUUGCAAAUUAGUCAGGCUUUGAUAGUACAGGUCGGCUCUGCCAAGCAGGAGGGCUUUCAGCCUUGGGAGUCUGGCAGGAGUUCAAGAGCAACGCGCUGCUUUGAACUCACUUGUUAGCCGUGCAAAAUAAACACCAUCCACCUUGCAAUAAAAAAGCAUCAGCAGGAGAAAAAAGAGAACAUUCUAAACCCCUCCCUGGAGACUUCAAAACCCUCUCUGGGGCUGCUAAAUUAGGACAGGAAAAAGAAGGCCUGGUUGUGAAAAGAAAGGAGCGGGGAAAGAACCAUCCUACAACAAACACACACACACACAAAAUUACAAUCACUGAGAACUAAUUAUGUUUUCAUGAUCACAAAUGCAUUGAGAGUUUGAAAGCUCACGGACGCAUCCUGAUGCUGCUAUAAAAUGUUUCCUGGCUAAUUAUUUGCCAGUACAACUGUUCACUUCCUGUGGUGGAUUUAUGCUAAAUCCUGUUAUUAGUCUUGCUCUGCAAUCGCCAUUGUCUAUGACUAGAAGCAAGGCUGAAAGGCUACAGUCGGCCUUUUAUCACACAACAUGUGAAUGGAGAUUUGACCCAAUGUCCGACCACUUCCCCCCUUUGGUUUUUAUGUGAGCCCCCUGGGCCUUUCCCUAUAAAUCACCAGGUUCCAAUGAACUUUUACUCUUUUUUCUCUCCUUUCAACUCCUCUACUG